AUUGAACGCUGGCGGCAGGCCUAACACAUGCAAGUCGAGCGAGUGGCGGCCGGGUGAGUAAUGUCUGGGAAACUGCCCGAUGGAGGGGGAUAACUACUGGAAACGGUAGCUAAUACCGCAUACCAUCGGAUGUGCCCAGAUGGGAUUAGCUUGUAGGUGGGGUAACGGCUCACCUAGGCGACGAUCCCUAGCUGGUCUGAGAGGAUGACCAGCCACACUGGAACUGAGACACGGUCCAGACUCCUACGGGAGGCAGCAGUGGGGAAUAGUGCACAAUGGGCGAAAGCCUGAUGCAGCCAUGCCGCGUGUAUGAAGAAGGCCUUCGGGUUGUAAAGUACUUUCAGCGGGGAGGCGUUACCCGCAGAAGAAGCACCGGCUAACUCCGUGCCAGCAGCCGCGGUAAUAC
rnacentral:rRNA from 1 species